rnacentral:rRNA from 1 species
UACGUAGGGUGCAAGCGUUGUCCGGAAUUAUUGGGCGUAAAGAGCUCGUAGGCGGUCUGUCACGUCUGCUGUGAAAACUCGGGGCUUAACCCCGGGCCUGCAGUGGGUACGGGCAGACUAGAGUGCGGUAGGGGAGACUGGAAUUCCUGGUGUAGCGGUGAAAUGCGUAGAGAUCAUGAGGAACACCCGUGGCGAAAGCGGCUCUCUGGGACGGUACUGACGCUGAGACGCGAAAGCGUGGGGAGCAAACAGG